rnacentral:rRNA from 1 species
GGGGAAUAUUGGACAAUGGGCGAAAGCCUGAUCCAGCCAUGCCGCGUGAGUGAUGAAGGCCUUAGGGUUGUAAAGCUCUUUUGCCGGGGACGAUGAUGACGGUACCCGGAGAAUAAGACACGGCUAACUUCGUGCCAGCAGCCGCGGUAAUACGAAGGUGUCUAGCGUUGUUCGGAAUCACUGGGCGUAAAGCGCGCGUAGGCGACGCAUUAAGUCAGAGGUGAAAGCCUGGAGCUCAACUCCAGAACUGCCUUUGAAACUGGUGCGCUGGAGUGCAAAAGAGGGUAGUGGAAUUCCGAAUGUAGCAGUGAAAUGCGUAGAUAUUCGGAGGAACACCAGUGGCGAAGGCGACUACCUGGUUUGCAACUGACGCUCUGGCGCGAAAGCGUGGGGAUCAAAC